rnacentral:rRNA from 1 species
GGUCCUACGGGGCGCAGCAGUUAGGAAUAUUCGGCAAUGGGGGAAACCCUGACCGAGCAAUGCCGCGUGUGAGAUGACGGCCCUAUGGGUUGUAAAUCACUUUUAUUUGGGAAGAAAUGUAGAUAUAGGAAAUGAUGUCUACUUGACGGUACCUUUUGAAUAAGCCCCGGCUAACUACGUGCCAGCAGCCGCGGUAAUACGUAGGGGGCGAGCGUUAUCCGGAUUUAUUGGGCGUAAAGCGUGCGUAGGCGGCUUGUUAAGUCCAGAAUUAAAGCCCGAGGCUUAACCUCGGUUCGUUCUGGAUA